UACGAAGGGGGCUAGCGUUGUUCGGAAUCACUGGGCGUAAAGGGCGCGUAGGCGGCCGAUCAAGUCGGGGGUGAAAGCCUGUGGCUCAACCACAGAAUUGCCUUCGAUACUGUUUGGCUUGAGACCGGAAGAGGUUAGUGGAACUGCGAGUGUAGAGGUGAAAUUCGUAGAUAUUCGCAAGAACACCAGUGGCGAAGGCGGCUGACUGGUCCGGUACUGGACGCUGAGGUGGCGAAAGCGUGGGGAGCAAACAGG
rnacentral:rRNA from 1 species